GAUGAACGCUAGCGGCAGGCUUAAUACAUGCAAGUCGAACGGUAAGGCCCCUUCGGGGGUACACGAGUGGCGCACGGGUGCGUAACGCGUACACAAUCUACCUUAAAGAGGAGAAUAGCCUUUGGAAACGAAGAUUAAUACUCCAUGGUGUUAUAAUAUCGCAUGAUAUAAUAACUAAAGCUCCGGCGCUUUAAGAUGGGUGUGCGUCCCAUUAGUUAGUUGGUAGGGUAACGGCCUACCAAGACCACGAUGGGUAGCUGUUCUGAGAGGAAGAUCAGCCACACGGGCACUGAGACACGGGCCCGACUCCUACGGGAGGCAGCAGUAAGGAAUAUUGGGCAAUGGAGGCAACUCUGACCCAGCCAUGCCGCGUGAAGGAUGACUGCCCUCUGGGUUGUAAACUUCUUUUAUAUGGAAAGAAACCCCACUAUUUAUGGUGGGCUGACGGUACCAUACGAAUAAGCACCGGCUAACUCCG
rnacentral:rRNA from 1 species